GGAGAGAUGGCUGAGCGGUCGAAAGCAAUAGUCUUGAAAACUAUAGUCCUCGCAAGGGGACCCAGGGUUCGAAUCCCUGUCUCUCCGCCA
rnacentral:tRNA from 1 species